rnacentral:rRNA from 1 species
UACGUAGGGUGCAAGCGUUGUCCGGAAUUAUUGGGCGUAAAGAGCUCGUAGGCGGUCUGUCACGUCGGCUGUGAAAUCCCGAGGCUCAACCUCGGGUCUGCAGUCGAUACGGGCAAACUAGAGUAUUGCAGGGGAGACUGGAAUUCCUGGUGUAGCGGUGAAAUGCGCAGAUAUCAGGAGGAACACCGGUGGCGAAGGCGGGUCUCUGGGCCGUAAUGACUCUGAGGAGCGAAAGCAUGGGGUAGCGAACAGGAUUAGAACCGU